rnacentral:lncRNA from 1 species
CACAGAGGGGGGAGGGGGGAUAGAGGUGCAGAGAGAGAGAGGUACAGAAAGAGAGAGAGAGGCACAACGUUGUGCUGGAACACAAGAGAAAGUCGACAAUCAACAGUCAACUUCGAAUCAGCAAAGCAUGUGAGAAUAUCAGAACAUUUCCCACAUCAGAGGCAGAUCACCAUGACUGAAGUGGUAGCAGGGAAGACGUGGCAACCGCUGAAAUAACAAUAAAACCUCAUAUCAUAUCCUUACUGUACAACUCUUACAGAUUAGUCAGAACAAGAAUACCUCCUCAAACUAAAAAUCUGAAGUAAUCAGUCACCAAUUUCACAGGCGCUGCACAUGAGCUAAUCAAAUCACUCAAUCUUAUUUAUCCAUCAUCUUUGAUGUAUCUACACUUCAUCCACCCUCCCACCCUUUUGGCAGGAGGAGGGGGAGUCUGGAAACUGGACAUCCUGUCUUUAGUGGAGUCUGUCUUGACCGUGUAAGAUACACUGAGUUUCUAUUACCUUGUGGAUUUCUGAAGAAAUUGUUGCUGAAGGAAUUCAAUUCCGAGAAACAGCACAACACCACACACCCAUCACACCACAGGAGAUGGUGGCACCUUAAUCGGGGAGAAAGGGGUCGUGGUAAUGACUGGAGCAGGUUCAGGGGAAUGGUAUGAAAUACAUCAAACACAUGGUUUCCAGGUGUUUAAUGCCAUUCCAUUUGCUCCAUUCCGCACAUUAUUAUUAGCAGUCACGAAUGUUUGAUCUUGAACAGAACAUGACACGCAGAAAUCGUAAUGUUCAACCUGCGAGGACAGAUACAGAAACCGGGAAAAUUCCGAGCAACACAGCUCAAACAAAUGGAUUGGAGAGGUGGUGUGAAUACAUCUCUCUCUACAGCUCAGAGCAACUUGUCUCUGUGUUUCACCUGCAACGGUGAGAGAUGUCAAGAUGUGAAAAAGAUUUUCAACUCAAUGAGAGAUGACAAAAUUUGGACGCAAAGUACUGCAACGUCUGCCCUUCUUGGCUGUUCCCUGACCUCGUCUCCCUUUGCUGGGAAGUGUGUGCCAUGUGUUGAGGACCGCAAGGUCUACAUUGUUUGCCUUGACAUGCCCAAGGAUCUCAAACUGGACCUGGAGGAUGGUGAUGGCAACUCAUUUUCCUACACUGAAGCUAGUGGAGUCAGAGGUCUUGCUGGGCAUGGUGGAGCAAUGAUCAGCAUUGGCAUGUUAGCAGCUGCCGUCAUCUUUGUCGCUUACUACAGAAGCCAGACCAAAUCAAGUAUUGUCUAGUGUCAACUUCAGAAGUCCACUCAGAGGAACACCAGACCCAUUUAAAGUUAUUAAAGACUGUCACGUCUACUGCUCCCCCUCUCCGGCGCACAGAGGGAGGGGGGCAGAACAUGAGACAGAGCUGCAUUUCAUGACAAAAUGUGAAAAAUAUAAAACAAUUAGAGAGUGUAAUUUCCCCAUUUUGAAACCCUUAUUCAAGGUUUCAAAGACCUCUCUGGUGAGAGUAGGCUACCCUUCCUGUUGGGGGAAGACGCAGAGAGCUGGGGGUUGGCAGCGCACUACAUUGCUGCCUGCCAUAAGAUGAGGGACAGUGUCUGACAGACCAAUCAACCUGCACAUAAGCUUUGGCAAUAUGUACAUUGUUACGUUAUGCCAAUAAAGUGAAUUGAAUUGACACACCCACACACACACACACACACACACACACACACACACACACACACACACACACACACACACACACACACACACACACACACACACACACACACACACAGAGAGAGAGAGGGGGAGGGAGAGAGAGCACAGGGGGGGGGGGGAGAGAGGCACAGUUAGGGAGAGAGGCACAGAGGGGGGAGAGAGAGAGCACAGAGGGGGAGGGGAGAGAGAGGGACAGAGGGGGGAUAGAGGUGCAGAGAGAGAGGUACAGAAAGAGAUAAUGCUGAACCUGAGUGGCUUCUGCCUUAGAACAGGACAGGUGAGGCUGUGUUGGUUAAGGAAUGUAUCUGUUAUUUAGCAGGUCACUGGGGACACAGAGAGGGAAUGCAAAGACAGGGAGAACAGCAAGUCGUACCUACUUACUAGAGCAAAGGCCAUUUGGAAGCAUGGUUUGAUCAGGAGGCUCACUUGAAGACAGUGGAUUACAAUAUCCUACUGGUCCUCAGCCACCUCCUUUAUAACAUCCAAAAUGUCAUCUUUAGAUUGAUUUGAUUAGGCACAAUACAAGCCGGGAUUUCUGGCUGCUCUAUUAGCAGGGCUAUUUCUCCAUGUUGUGGAUGUCUAUUCAUAUGUUUGUAUGUAUGCUGUCACUGUUUUAUUAUUAUUUGGAAAACCCCUACCCUGCCCCCCUUCCUCCUGAGAAGUGAUCAGCAGUCAUACCACUCUGAGCCCACCCACCACCUGAUCAUCCUGUCCUCUACCGUUACACCCCGCUGGAAACAGGAAACUACUGUGGAAAUGUGUAUAUUUGCAGAGCAAGUCGAUCAUAUCAGAUUGUUUAAUUAAAUAGAAUGUUCUGGAUCCCCCUCUCUGACACCAGCCUGAAACAUGUGACCUCACAGUAUACCUACAGUCUGAGCCAAAUGCUUAAGAACUAUUAGAGAAGAAUAAACACACUUCACAAUCACCACUAUAAUCUAAAACAUUAGGCUCACAACUUUCACAUUGCCAGAGACCUUAGAACACAAUAAGCAGACAGCUGUGGAUAUCAGAACAAAUAAACAUGGUAAUAUCCUGAAUGUGUAGCUUAUAGAGAGACCGGAAGUAUGGUGUAGAGAGACACAGCUCCAGGACUACACCCAGAAAACCCCUACAGUUUCCCAAUGAUGGCCAAAGGUUAAGUUGCUGCUGUGUGUGUGAGAGAGAGAGAAAGUGAGUUCUGUCUGAGGAGAACAGGGCAGGUGAGGCUACAGAAAUGUGCCUGUUAUUCAGCUGACUGCUCUUCCCCUUUUCGACUGAGUCAGUCUAGCUUGGACAAAACAUUUCUCAGAAACAGAUAGUAUAUGUGGUUUCCAUGGACACAGAGAUGUUACAGCUCGUUGAAAAAAGGAAACGUCACUAAACUGUUUAGUUAAAUAGGAGGUUCUAGGUCCCUCUAGCACCAGUCUGAAACAUGAGACCUCACAGUACCUACUGCUCAUUGCAGUGCAAUAAGUGGGCUGCUCUACUUGCCCAUUGUUGGGUUCUAGCUUGAAAUACACUUAUUCACAUUACCAUACUAGACCUUAUUGGUGCUUUACAUGUAUAAGGAAUGUAUAUGUUAGGGUCAAUGGAGGGUGGAUAAGAACUAGGUGUAUGGAAAGUUACUGGCUGACACAAUGGAGUGCAGAAAGUUUACAUUCUGUCAAAACAUGCUAUUGUUAAAUCUCAUGGCUCGUAAAGAGGGAGGCACAGGGCAACAGUCUUGUUUCAGUCACUGAUAAGGUAGGACAGUCGUAGAGUAGUGAGGAGCGAGGAAUUCGGACCGAGGUCAGAUCAGAUGAAGUGAGAGGAACAGUCCUAUUACACACACACACACUUCGACUCCCACAAAUGUUCUAGCAUCAGGCAGGGCCAUGACUACACCAGUGAGAGGAACCAAUUAAGUAGAAACAGAGAUGUAUUGGCUGUCUAGAUGUGCAAGGAGUUGAC